rnacentral:rRNA from 1 species
GAUGAACGCUGGCGGCGUGCCUAAUACAUGCAAGUCGAGCGAACGGACGAGAAGCUUGCUUUUCUGAUGUUAGCGGCGGACGGGUGAGUAACACGUGGAUAACCUACCUAUAAGACUGGGAUAACUUCGGGAAACCGGAGCUAAUACCGGAUAAUAUUUUGAACCGCAUGGUUCAAAAGUGAAAGACGGUCUUGCUGUCACUUAUAGAUGGAUCCGCGCUGCAUUAGCUAGUUGGUAAGGUAACGGCUUACCAAGGCAACGAUGCAUAGCCGACCUGAGAGGGUGAUCGGCCACACUGGAGCUGAGACACGGUCCAGACUCCUACGGGAGGCACCAGUAGGGAAUCUUCCGCAAUGGGCGAAAGCCUGACGGAGCAACGCCGCGUGAGUGAUGAAGGUCUUCGGAUCGUAAAACUCUGUUAUUAGGGAAGAACAUAUGUGUAAGUAACUGUGCACAUCUUGACGGUACCUAAUCAGAAAGCCACGGCUAACUACGUG